rnacentral:rRNA from 1 species
CAGCAGCCGCGGUAAUACGAAGGGGGCUAGCGUUGUUCGGAUUUACUGGGCGUAAAGCGCACGUAGGCGGAUUGGUAAGUUAGGGGUGAAAUCCUGGAGCUCAACUCCAGAACUGCCUUUAAUACUGCCAAUCUCGAGUCCGGAAGAGGUAGGUGGAACUCCUAGUGUAGAGGUGGAAUUCGUAGAUAUUAGGAAGAACACCAGUGGCGAAGGCGGCUUACUGGUCCGGUACUGACGCUGAGGUGCGAAAGCGUGGGGAGCAAACAGGAUUAGAUACCCCAGUAGUCCCUGUCUCUUAUAC